AGGUAUUAACUAAAUUUCGGCACAAAAUGUCAAAAUUAAUGCAGGAAAAUUAGUGAUUUCUUGUCAAAUUGCAGAAGAAUUACAAAAGGAGAAAAUAAGAGACAGACUUCAGUACUCUAAAAUCAAAGCAAAUAACAAAAGCAGCACGUUAACCACCAAGAAACAUAAAAUGAGCUUGAACAAUUUCUUCAUUCAAAUGUAAUGAAAAAAAAUGCCCAUACAAAAAAAAUCUGCAAAAGAAAGAUUGAAGCAG
rnacentral:misc_RNA from 1 species